CCUACGGUGGGCAGCAGUGAGGAAUAUUGGUCAAUGGACGAGAGUCUGAACCAGCCAAGUAGCGUGAAGGAUGACUGCCCUAUGGGUUGUAAACUUCUUUUAUAUGGGAAUAAAAUGUUCCACGUGUGGGAUUUUGUAUGUACCAUAUGAAUAAGGAUCGGCUAACUCCGUGCCAGCAGCCGCGGUAAUACGGAGGAUCCGAGCGUUAUCAGGAUUUCUUGGGGUUAAAGGGAGCGUAGGUGGAUUGUUAAGUCAGUUGUGAAAGUUUGCGGCUCAACCGUAAAAUUGCAGUUGAAACUGGCAGUCGUGAGUACAGUAGAGGUGGGCGGAAUUCGUGGUGUAGCGGUGAAAUGCUUAGAUAUCACGAAGAACUCCGAGUGAGAAGGCAGCUCACUGGACUGCAACUGACACUGAGGCUCGAAAGUGUGGGUAUCAAACAGGAUUAGAUACCCGAGUAGUC
rnacentral:rRNA from 1 species